CAUGAUUAUAAUUGCUGUAAUUUUAUUUAUUUAUUUUUAUAAUUUUUUUCUUUCACAUUUACCUCCUAUAAUGCUUUGUUACAAUUUUGACAUACAAGAUAAAAUAACCAAAAUAUUCAUUUAAAAAAAUUAUUCCAAUAGUACAUCAAAUGUAUUAAUAUUAUGAAGAUAUUUCAACUGAACCCAAAAAGAUAGUCAAUUCUAGCAACAAUUAUUAAUGAGCAGUCCUAGAUAUAAUAUGCAUUGUUAUUUCUACAUGAAGAUCUCUUGGCCUAUGGAGCACCACUUCCUAAAUCUGGAGCCUACAAAAAAGAUGCGACAGAAAAUAAGUGACUAAAUGUAUUGUUUAGCAAUAGUAUUUUCUAAGGCUUCAUAAGGUUUGUCAGAAAACACAAUAGAACAAGCAAUGUCCUAAAUCGAAGCUAGAAGUAUCACAGAAUAACAGAGUGUAUCAACCAAGUACAUUUAAGGAAAAAAGAUGAUAAAGUGAGAAUCAAAGCAAAGUCAGCAAAUUUCCAAAAGUCAGCGAAGAGCAAGUCUAAAAAUUUCACAGAUGUAGUUCACAAAAUCAAAUUUCAUUUGGUUAACAAUUCAGAUUUUAUCAUACUUUUGUAUUCUAAGUUUUGUUAAAUUUAAAAACUGGUAUCUUCAGAUUCACUUUUGUAUUCUAAGUUUUGUUAAAUUUAAAAACUGGUAUAUUCAGAUUCACAACAGGUCACCAAUAUCAGGCGCGCCUAAAUCUCCAAUCUCUCCAAUGAUAUUACUGAGUUGCCUUUCCAUAUUCAACUUCUCCUUAUGCUUAAAGUGCUCGCUGCUAAGGCAUUAUAAUUGGUUAACAAAAGUAUCACCUUUUGAUUGAAAAGGUCAAAAACUCAAUAUACUCUUAUAAGCACGCUCUUACGUAUAUUAAAAUCAUUUAGGUUCGUUCUUCAGAGAAUAUAAAAGAGACUGCAGGAAGCUUAACUGGUGUGAAUCUAAGAAGUUAAGUAAACAAACAAGAACAUGAUAACUUGAUAUAAAGACAAAAUAUUAAGAAUUAAAACUCACCUUAUGACCUUCUUCAAUAUAGAAUAGAACUCCUUUUACCUUUUGCAAGACAUGUAAUACUCAGAUUAGAGAUCAUGCCCUUUUUUUAUAAGUAAAAUAAAUAGAUUAGAGAUCACGUCAUAGUACUUUCUCUCCACACACCUCAAGAAAAUUACUUGAACCUCUAGCUGAGUAUCAAACCUUAAAAUUUUAGGCUCUAUGUAAAAAUUUCAGAACAAAAUGAUAAUUAUACAUUCUGAGUCUUUAGUCUCUAAAGCAUAUCUCUUUAGGUAACUUAGCUCUCUAAAAGAAUGAUAAUUUUGGUUCAACACCAAAAUAAUAAGGCCGUAGAGCCUCUGAACCGAGUAAACAAAUCAUAACAUGGUCUAACUUUCUUAACAAGUCCUAUUUUGUCUACAAAAUAAAGAUAUAGAAACACUUCCAAAAAGCUAUUGUCACGUCACGUGAAACAAAAACAUAAAGAAAAUAUGUUAUUUCACAUACUUUCAUAGGUCUCUUUGUACAUGUCUAUCAUGCGAGAAACCAAUUCAUAUCUUCAGUUUAUAGGCUCAAGCUCAUGCAUGAUUAUGAAGCGAAGACCUCUUUUGUGUAAGAGGCUUAGAGCCUCUAAACUUGUCCAGUCGUAGUAAAUUAAACCUAUAUUUAGAAGACUGAUUACUCAAAAGUAUAACAAACACCAAAAAGCAAUGAGGAUUUAUCAAAAUAAGAUAUGAUUUAUCAAUAAAACUAGACAACUCCAUGUAUUAACCUUGAUCGGGGAAUACUCAAGUAGGUAAAUCUCAGAAGAAGUACCACUAGUCAAAACAAAUAUGCUGCAGAACUUCAUAGAAGAAAUAUUAAAAGUCAUACACAAAUCUGAAGGAAGAUAUAAUUCCUGCAUUCUUUCGUAGUUCGAAAAGUUUUUAUUUACAAUAGCAAUUCCAAUCUCUACAUAAUGGUAAAAGAGAAGCUCAUUGAGUAUCAACACGGAGGUCCUUUCCUAUACAAAAAGCCCACUAACAUAUGGGCAAGCAAAGUUAGCCUACGCAAAAGAGAUAUAAUAUGAGUGUUUUAUUUUUUUAGAUGCAUAUCUGAGUGUUCAUUAUACAGUGAACUGUUCAAAAAACACCAAACAAAAUCAGUGCAGCAAAGUUUGCAAUGGCUAGUUAAAAGCUAAGAAAGAUUGCAAUAAUAUUGCAACAAUACUACAACUAAUGUAAGAAGACCAAUUCAAUCCUUCAGCAACAGAAUUCCAUAGCUCAUAUAAGAAUAUAUAGCAGCAGUAAAUGACCAUGAAACACCACUCCCCACACAGCUCUUGAUGUAAUCAAUCAACUAAGCCUCAAAGCCUAACUAGUUAGGACCAUUAUACUAUCCUCUGCACACAGAUUCUGCUCUAUGCCUACUAAUCUAUCUUUGAAUGACCAGCUAAGGGUACUCAAUUCUCUCAACCCUACACUGACAAACAUGUCCCAACCAAACCAAAAACAUUUCUAAGAAAAUAACGAUACAAUCCUAACAAUAACUGAUAUAUAAAAUCUUUGAAAGCAAGCAGCUAAGCAUAGAUCUAAUGAUCACAGUGACAAAGCAUAGCAACACAACAAAAAAAUCACAGAUCCACAUAAAUAUAUAUACAUAUAAGCAAAAAGAAGAGAAAAUUAGGGAGUACCUAGGUGAACUUGAUCCACAUUUAUCAAAAGCACGACGGAGAUUAGCGAACUCCUCACGAGCUUCAUCGGAUACCUGACAAAAAAAGGAGAAAGAAAGGAGAGAAGAUGGAGUUGCCGGCUACGACGAUCUGGCGAAACGCCGCUGACGGCUUGGCCCAGAUUGGUGCGAGGGAGAGAGGCAAAUAGGAGAGUAGGGUUUUUUAGGGUCGGAGAGUUCUGAUAUCUAAGAGUUAGAUGUAUUGACCUUUUCUAGAUAAACCAAAAACUAUCUUACAAUUGAAAUAUAAAUAGUUGCCAUUUAAAUCGCCGUAUUUUCACUUUAUAACUGUGUGGUGUGGUGUUGUGAAGAUGGCCGUAAUUAGUUGUGUAUUGCGGCGGUUUUACCUAAUAAAACCGUCGCAAUUUCACGGAUAUUUUUAUAGUGAAGCAAUACGUUUGCUUCUAUGUUU
rnacentral:lncRNA from 1 species